rnacentral:rRNA from 1 species
UACAGAGGUCUCAAGCGUUGUUCGGAUUCAUUGGGCGUAAAGGGUGUGUAGGUGGCGCGCUAAGUCGGGUGUGAAAUUUCGGAGCUUAACUCCGAAACUGCAUUCGAUACUGGCGUGCUUGAGGACUGGAGAGGAGACUGGAAUUCAUGGUGUAGCAGUGAAAUGCGUAGAGAUCAUGAGGAAGACCAGUGGCGACGGCGGGUCUCUGGACAGUUCCUGACACUGAGACACGAAGGCCAGGGGAGCAAACGGG